rnacentral:rRNA from 1 species
GACGAAUGCUGGCUGCGUGCUUAACACAUGCAAGUCGAACGGUGAACCAGGGCUUGCCCUGGGGAUCAGUGGCGAACGGGUGAGUAACACGUGGGCAACCUGCCCCUCGCUCUGGGAUAACUCCGGGAAACCGGGGCUAAUACCGGAUAUGACCAGGCGCGACAUCUCGCCUGGUGGAAAGAAUUUCGGUGAGGGAUGGGCCCGCGGCCUAUCAGCUUGUUGGUGGGGUAACGGCCCACCAAGGCGACGACGGGUAGCCGGCCUGAGAGGGCGACCGGCCACACUGGGACUGAGACACGGCCCGGACUCCUACGGGAGGCAGCAGUGGGGAAUAUUGCGCAAUGGGCGAAAGCCUGACGCAGCGACGCAGCGUGAGGGACGACGGCCUUCGGGUUGUAAACCUCUUUCAGCGGGGACGAAGCGAAAGUGACGGUACCCGCAGAAGAAGCACCGGCUAACUUCGUGCCAGCCGCCGCCGUAAGAC